rnacentral:rRNA from 1 species
UACAGAGGUCUCAAGCGUUGUUCGGAUUCAUUGGGCGUAAAGCGUGCGCAGGCGGUCUUGCAAGACAGAUGUGAAAUCCCCGGGCUCAACCUGGGAACUGCAUUUGUGACUGCAAGGCUGGAGUGCGGCAGAGGGGGAUGGAAUUCCGCGUGUAGCAGUGAAAUGCGUAGAUAUGCGGAGGAACACCGAUGGCGAAGGCAAUCCCCUGGGCCUGCACUGACGCUCAUGCACGAAAGCGUGGGGAGCAAACAGG